UACGUAGGGGGCUAGCGUUGUUCGGAAUCACUGGGCGUAAAGGGAGCGUAGGCGGCGUGGUAAGUCAGAUGUGAAAUCCCGGGGCUCAACCCCGGAACUGCAUCCGAUACUGCCAUGCUAGAGGAUUGGAGAGGUAGCUGGAAUUCUUGGUGUAGCAGUGAAAUGCGUGGAUAUCAAGAGGAACACUCGUGGCGAAAGCGAGCUACUGGACAAUUCCUGACGCUGAGGCUCGAAGGCUAGGGUAGCGAAAGGG
rnacentral:rRNA from 1 species